rnacentral:rRNA from 1 species
UACAGAGGUCCCAAGCGUUGUCCGGAUUUACUGGGCGUAAAGAGCGCGCAGGCGGUCGUUCAAGUCGCGUGUGAAAGCCCCCGGCUCAACUGGGGAGGGUCACGCGAUACUGAUCGACUCGAAGGCAGGAGAGGGUAGUGGAAUUCCCGGUGUAGUGGUGAAAUGCGUAGAUAUCAGGAGGAACACCAGUGGCGAAGGCGGCUUUCUGGACGGUAACUGACGCUGAGACGCGAAAGCGUGGGGAGCAAACAGG